rnacentral:rRNA from 1 species
AGAGUUUGAUCCUGGCUCAGAGUGAACGCUGGCGGUAGGCCUAACACAUGCAAGUCGAACGGCAGCACAGGAGAGCUUGCUCUCUGGGUGGCGAGUGGCGGACGGGUGAGGAAUACAUCGGAAUCUACCUUUUCGUGGGGGAUAACGUAGGGAAACUUACGCUAAUACCGCAUACGACCUACGGGUGAAAGCAGGGGAUCUUCGGACCUUGCGCGAUUGAAUGAGCCGAUGUCGGAUUAGCUAGUUGGCGGGGUAAAGGCCCACCAAGGCGACGAUCCGUAGCUGGUCUGAGAGGAUGAUCAGCCACACUGGAACUGAGACACGGUCCAGACUCCUACGGGAGGCAGUAGUGGGGAAUAUUGGACAAUGGGCGCAAGCCUGAUCCAGCCAUACCGCGUGGGUGAAGAAGGCCUUCGGGUUGUAAAGCCCUUUUGUUGGGAAAGAAAUCCAGCUGGCUAAUACCCGGUUGGGAUGACGGUACCCAAAGAAUAAGCACCGGCUAACUUCGUGCCAGCAGCCGCGGUAAUACGAAGGGUGCAAGCGUUACUCGGAAUUACUGGGCGUAAAGCGUGCGUAGGUGGUCGUUUAAGUCCGUUGUGAAAGCCCUGGGCUCAACCUGGGAACUGCAGUGGAUACUGGGCGACUAGAGUGUGGUAGAGGGUAGCGGAAUUCCUGGUGUAGCAGUGAAAUGCGUC